rnacentral:rRNA from 1 species
GUGGGGAAUAUUGGACAAUGGGCGCAAGCCUGAUCCAGCCAUACCGCGUGGGUGAAGAAGGCCUUCGGGUUGUAAAGCCCUUUUGUUGGGAAAGAAAUCCUAUCGAUUAAUACUCGGUGGGGAUGACGGUACCCAAAGAAUAAGCACCGGCUAACUUCGUGCCAGCAGCCGCGGUAAUACGAAGGGUGCAAGCGUUACUCGGAAUUACUGGGCGUAAAGCGUGCGUAGGUGGUUGUUUAAGUCUGCUGUGAAAGCCCUGGACUCAACCUGGGAAUUGCAGUGGAGACUGGGCAACUAGAGUGUGGUAGAGGGAUGCGGAAUUUCUGGUGUAGCAGUGAAAUGCGUAGAGAUCAGAAGGAACAUCCGUGGCGAAGGCGGCAUCCUGGGCCAACACUGACACUGAGGCACGAAAGCGUGGGGAGCAAACAGGAUUAGAUACCCCUGUAGUCC